rnacentral:rRNA from 1 species
AGACGUCUACAUUAGAUACCCCCUGUAGUCCCAGCCGUAAACUAUGCGCGUUAGGUGUAUCGGUGACCACGAGUCACCGAGGUGCCGAAGGGAAACCGUGAAACGUGCCGCCUGGGAAGUACGGUCGCAAGACUGAAACUUAAAGGAAUUGGCGGGGAGCACCACAACGGGUGGAGCCUGCGGUUUAAUUGGACUCAACGCCGGGAAGCUCACCGGAUAAGACAGCGGAAUGAUUGCCGGGCUGAAGACUCUGCAUGACUAGCUG